GCGACCCCAAGAUGGGCGGGAU
rnacentral:rRNA from 1 species